rnacentral:lncRNA from 1 species
UCCACCAGCACCGAGAUGACAACCGUCAUCCACAGCACAACUCCAUCUCAGUUUUGUUCCAGCCCUACACCAGCAACAGUACGUAGUGAUUGAUGUUCACGUUACAAGCAUCCCAGAUUCUCUAGCAGCAAGUUUUCAGUAGUGUAGCUGUUAAGAGCAACGUCAUUACAAUUGUAUGCUAGGCAUGAGAAAUGGGCAGCCAAAUCGCUUAGAAAGCUUGAGAAUAUCCAUGAGGAAAGAAGGAGAUGAGGUCAAGGGAGCUUCUUUUGCUAGCAAUGCAUUCUUUCCUAUUGCUUGGAACGAUACAGUGGAGAAGGUAUGUGAAGCUAACAUUGGUGUUGUUACAGAGCAUGGUGGUAGCAUCAGGAAUAAGGACACCAUAGAAUACUGCAACAGUAUAUGAAGAAAAAAAAAAGAAAAAAAAAAGAAAGGGAGAAAGAGACCCCCAUGCAUACCUGCUAAGAGUCUAAAACUGGUGGAGGCUGUGCUGAUAGUAAAAGGAGAAGGAGCCGUGCUAGUUAUAACAGAAAGAAUGGAAAUGCAGUGUUCUUUUAGUCGGAAAAACUGCAAAAAGGUGAUGGAUAGACACUGGUCUCG